rnacentral:rRNA from 1 species
AUUGAACGCUGGCGGCAUGCCUUACACAUGCAAGUCGAACGGCAGCGCGGACUUCGGUCUGGCGGCGAGUGGCGAACGGGUGAGUAAAGCAUCGGAACGUGCCUAGGAGUGGGGGAUAACGUAGCGAAAGUUACGCUAAUACCGCAUAUUCUGUGAGCAGGAAAGCAGGGGAUCUUCGGACCUUGUGCUUCUGGAGCGGCCGAUGUCAGAUUAGCUAGUUGGUGAGGUAAAAGCUCACCAAGGCGACGAUCUGUAGCGGGUCUGAGAGGAUGUUCCGCCACACUGGGACUGAGAAACGGCCCAGACUCCUACGGGAGUCAGCAGUGGGGAAUUUUGGACAAUGGGGGCAACCCUGAUCCAGCCAUGCCGCGUGAGUGAAGAAGGCCUUCGGGUUGUAAAGCUCUUUCGGCCGGGAAAAAAUCGCUUGGGCUAAUACCUCAAGUGGAUGAUGGUACCGGAAUAAGAAGCACCGGCUAACUUCGUGCCAGCCGCCGCCGUAACAC